UAAAACAUUCAGUUUGGUCAAAAAUUAGGUGUUUACAGAAUGCCCCUUCUUUGCUUGAAAAUAUGGAGAAUUUCCAAGCAAAGAAGUGAACAGGACUAAUUUUUGGCCCAACCAUUUAUUCAAAAGUAAUACGUAAAUAAGUAGGAAAAAGGUGUGACCGAGCCCUGGCUUUGGGCAUCCUACAUAUCUCGGGUUAUAAGAGAUCAGGUCACGUGUAAUUUAAAUGGGUGUAAGAGUGGAAUGAAUGGAUGAGUUGGAGAGUCGAGUUGAGGUCCCAUCGAGUUUCCGGUUCGUGGCUCUUUUUAUUACAUCAAAAAUGUAAAACUGGAAAUAAAAGUACAAGAUCCUGUCUAUUCUAUUUGUCUUGAUCUUCUUGCUUCCGAUCUUCCUCUUGGAUCUUCAGUUAUUGCCUCACCUUCUUCUGGUGGGUACCUUGAUCUCAAAAUUUGAUCUUG
rnacentral:lncRNA from 1 species